GGACCCAGGGAACUUCCAAUUGCAAUGGUGUUUGAUGCCGCAUAUAGCAUGUUGUCGCACUGAAGUUGAAUCUCAUCCUUCUAGACAGUUAACAGUGUGGUUCUCUAUAGAGUUUUAACAAACAAAAUAUCUUAUCUUUGGCUUAAGGCCCAGGCUAAGGGAUAUCUUGUCUCUAACUGACAACUAACUAACUUGAAUGAUACUAUUUCUAACUUCAAGAUAACAGAGAUUACAUCCCUUAAUUGGAGCCAACUAAGGCUUCUUAUUCCCUGUGCUAGUGAGAACUACACCUUAUAGUUGGAACAGAGGGGGUAUUAAGCAUUGUUUUCUAGUUGUCUGUCUUCAGCAUGUCUACAUUGGUACUGCCUAAUAUGCUAAGAUAGGCUCUAUGGAAUUGGUUGGGAAAAACUUCGAACUCGCUGCACUUAAAAUUCCCUACUGCAGCAUAUUUUGUAUACUUAUACAUGGUUCUCAUGCUACUGCCACAUUUGAUGUGUCCAAGCAAUUUCAGGAAUAUUUAGACACUUACCCUUUCACAUGUGACCUUCUAACCUUAUAUAUUUUGCAUGUACAACCAUAUAUGUAAAUUACCCUACAUUAUUCAACCUCUUGUAUGUUAUAUGUAAGGUCCAUGUGAAUGGCAGAGUUGUGAACAAAGCUGGAACGCAAGUAUCUGACAAGUCAAUCAUAUAACUCAAGGUUGAAAUCCUGAAAUAUGUAUGUAGGGUUGGGCAUAAGCUUGAGGCAGCUGUCAAAGAAUUUGGAGUUGACUGUGAUGGAAAGAUAGCCCGUGAUCCAGCGCUGUCUACAGUUGUUUCGUCGCUAUGAGGGUCUGGUGUUUGACGACCACCCCGUGCGUUCAUGCAAACGAGACAUUGCAAACGAUAUUUAAUUUGGUGCAACAUAACUCCCGACAAGCAUCAACGUCUGCCAUUAGGGCGAGCAAGAACCCUGAUCCUCCUCCGUCAGCCACUACCGCGAGCAAGAACCUUGAUCCUUCACCUACGGGUUGACGAUUUGCUUCAGAUCACGGAAGCUUGGGUUGAUGGAGUGCUUGUCUUUA